CACGUAGUUAGCCGGUGCUUCUUUACCCAUUACCGUCACUCACGCUUCGUCACAGGCGAAAGCGGUUUACAACCCGAAGGCCGUCAUCCCGCACGCGGCGUUGCUGCAUCAGGCUUCCGCCCAUUGUGCAAUAUUCCCCACUGCUGCCUCCCGUAGGUAGUCUGGGCCGUAUCUCAGUCCCAAUGUGGCCGGUCACCCUCUCAGGCCGGCUACCCGUCAAAGCCUUGGUAAGCCACUACCCCCACCAACAAGCUGAUAAGCCGCGAGUCCAUCCCCAACCGCCGAAACUUUCCAACCCCCACCAUGCAGCAGGAGCUCCUAUCCGGUAUUAGCCCCAGUUUCCUGAAGUUAUCCCAAAGUCAAGGGCAGGUUACUCACGUGUUACUCACCCGUUCGCCACUCGAGCCACCCCACAAAAGCAGGGCCUUUCCGUUCGACUUGCAUGUGUUAAGCACGCCGCCAGCGUUCGUCCUGAGCAGGAUCAAACUCU
rnacentral:rRNA from 1 species